AUACAGAGGUCCCAAGCGUUGUUCGGAUUCACUGGGCGUAAAGGGUGCGUAGGUGGUCGGGUAAGUCUGAUGUGAAAUCUCCGAGCUCAACUCGGAAAUGGCAUUGGAUACUAUUCGGCUGGAGGGUUGGAGGGGGGACUGGAAUACUUGGUGUAGCAGUGAAAUGCGUAGAUAUCAAGUGGAACACCAGUGGCGAAGGCGAGUCCCUGGACAACUCCUGACACUGAGGCACGAAAGCUAGGGGAGCAAACAGGA
rnacentral:rRNA from 1 species